rnacentral:rRNA from 1 species
UACGGAGGUCCCAAGCGUUGUUCGGAUUUACUGGGCGUAAAGGGUGCGUAGGUGGCGAGGUAAGUUCGAUGUGAAAUCUCCGAGCUCAACUCGGAAAUGGCAUUGAAUACUAUCCCGCUGGAGGGUCGGAGGGGAGACUGGAAUUCUCGGUGUAGCAGUGAAAUGCGUAGAUAUCAAGAGGAACACCGGUGGCGAAGGCGGGUCUCUGGGCCGAUAUUGACGCUGAGGAGCGAAAGCGUGGGGAGCGAACAGG